UGAGGAUAAAAAUAACUGUGUGUGCUGCUCUGAGCUCCUUGGAGGAAAAGCGGGAUAUAAAUGUUUUGGUGUUGUUUUUUUAAAGUGGGUAGUUUAUUUAUUUGUUAAAACUUUUAUACCCUGCCUUUCUAACUAGCUAUUAAAGGCAGCUAACAAUACCAAAAUUGUACAAAUAUGGAGUAACUAAAAAUGUGAGGAGUAACCAGAAAUACUCAUGAAGAGAUGCACUCUAAGGGCAAAAAACAACCUUCAUUUAACCUGCUAUCCGUUUUAAAUGGGAGAAGUGAGGGAGAAGCAGUGGCAGCUUGGGGUGUUUGUGCGUGAAAUGGGUUUGAAAAGGCACGAAACCGGCCGGAGGAAAAGAUUCAGGGUAGUAGAGCUCCGGCCCCUCUCUGUUCAGAAGGGCUUACUUCCGAGGAAGCCUGCCUUAGCCGGCCGCUCCCCCAAGCAAGGCUCUUGGCACCAGAGAACUGUCAGGCCCAGAGCGGUUCCCUCAGGCUUCAAAAUCACCUCAGAGCCGGGCUGCUGCCCACCCCCAUGGCCAGAAGGAACGCUGACAGGAAAACGGCCCUUCUGUGAGGAGUUCAAGUUCAAGUUCUUUAAUGUUACAGCCACAAGCCAAAACAGAAGAGAAAGAUUACAGUUAUAUAAUUGAAUGUAUGCAAUUAAAACAGGCUGAAAUUAGAAUUAGUUAAAAAAAAUUGACCAAAUUUAAAACAUAAUGAUGAUAAAAAUUUAAAACAGUAAAAUAUCCUUAUUAACCAUCCGGUGACGUAUAUUUAUGGUAGCAGCACAGAAUUUAGCCACAUUAGAUGUAAUUAAACACACUGAGUCCGAAAGCAACAAGGAACAAUAAAAUUGCUCCUGUCGACCGGGAAAUUUACAAAGCAAAGGAGUAAUGAAAGAUUCACGGAUAUCCUUGUAAAACAGGCAGAAUAAUAGAACGUGUUCAGUAGUUUCCACCUGAUCCAACCCACAAGGGCAGAGUCUGUCAGCAAAUGGAACCCCUCUAUAGCGCCCUUCUAGAACUGCCGAGGGUAAACAAGGGCAACGAGCCAAGGUAAAAGCUUUCCUAUACCUCGGAAAUUCCAACCAGGUAAAAUAAUUCAUUGCAGAGACUAGAUAUCUUCUUUCCUCUAAGAUGUAAAAUUUGGAGACUUUCCCGAGGUCAUUUUGCCGUUCGGAGUCAAACACUCAUUGUUUAACCAGCAACCUUGCCUGGCUUCAAAAUCACCUCAGAGCCGGGCUGCUGCCCACCCCCACGGCCAGAAGGAACGCUGACAGGAAAACGGCCCUUCUGUGAGGAGAAGGUGCCCUUGGGACGACAACUGAGGCAAUAAUCUCAGUGAAAUUCAGCCUGUUUACUGCCUGUUCUGUUUACAAAAACCCUCUUCAGGCAUUCCCAACUCUCUGUAACGUCUCUCUCCUAACUCCAGCACCAGGGCAUGGGAACAGGGAGUUUUUACGAAACGAACAAACAAAAAAACACCCCACAACCUGUAUUAUUUAUUUAUUAUGUAUUUAUUCAUUCGAUUUCUAUACCGCCCUUCCAAAAAUGGCUCAGGGCGGUUUACACAGAGAAAUAACAAACAAAUAAGAUGGCUCCCUGUCCCCAAAGGGCUCACAAUCGAAAAAGAAAUAAUCUAAUAUGUUUUAUUACACCAGCAACUGUCGCUGGAGGGAUGCUGUGCUGGGGGUGGAUGUGUUGUCAGAACCUAAGGGGUAUACUCGUGGGUCAAAUGGGCUGUAACCCAAAAUUUGGCUUAAAAUAAGCCAAAUAGGGCCAGUUACUCUCCCCCUGCUAAAUAAAGAGAAUCGCCAUGUUAAAAGGUGCCUCUUUGCCCAGUUAGCAGGGUUUUUAAAAGUUCUAAAAAAACACCAAAACUACUACAGAAUGUUAUCCUCAGAGGGUUUUUGUAAAUAUAUAAUAGGUAAGGCCGAUCACUAACUGGUCAAAGUCAUUUUGUGUAGAUGUCACUGACAAGAGCAUUCGAGAAAAGAUAUGUCACAGAAUUUUGUUUUUUAACGUGCUUGCACACGGGAAGCGAAAAGAACAGUUUGGAAUUGUGGGAUUUUGACUCUAAGCAUGUGUUAAAUUCGAAUCCCAGUAAAUCUGAAACUGAGAAAGCUCUUCUGCUUUCCUUGAGCGUGUGGUCAUUUUGGAAUUAUCAAUCUGAUUGUUAAUAUCUGUUGAGCACAACAGUUAAAAUCCACUGGUUAUAUUCAGAGUUUCUUUGGUGGCGGGAUGUUUAAACUAUUCCUUGAGCAGAUUCUGGUGUAAGAAGUAGGGCAUGCUAAUUUCAGAGGGAGGAUUGUUCAUGCAGAGGUUGGCAAGAAUAAAAGGACAUAAGAAGCCAUUUUAUUGCUGAAAACCGGUCCUGACACAUUUGGAGGACACACCUCUGGGGACUACAAAAUACAGAUAUACAGGAAUUAGAAUAUUUAAAAAUAUGCAUGGAGUUUUUUAAAAAAACCUAGUAAAAAUACCUGAGAAGCCACCUAAUGGCAUAGUGCGGAAAUGCUUGACUAACAAGCAGAAAGUUGCCGGUUCGAAUCCCUGCUGGUACACCUAUAUCGGGCAGCAGCAAUAUAGGAAGAUACUGAAAGGCAUCACCUCAUACUGCGCGGAAGGCAGCAAUGGUAAAUCUCUCCUGUAUUCUACCAAGGAAAACCACAGGGCUCUGUGAGCGCCAGGAGUCGAAAUCAACUUGAUGGCACACUUUACCUUUAAAAAAUAUCUGAACCUGAUGGACUAAAUAAAAACUUGAUAAGAACUAAUCAUCAGCACAAAACCAGAGGAACAUAAACCUAAUAAUGAGACCAAAAAAAGCAAUAUGAUCAAUUAUGCAUAAAGGGUGAAGAAAAGCACUAUUGUAAAUAUCUAAUAUUCAAAGUAAUAAAGGAAGUCAAAAUAUCUAUGGAGACCACUAGGAGAAAGGGAAUGUAGUCUCAAGACUCCUUUGGCAGAAGGAUCCUAUCUGGGCUGGAAGGCAUAUAAAGCCCCCAAAUUAAAACCUGACGUAGUAUGUUGGUGUUGCAGCCAACAUUUAACUGGAGGGGCUUUAGAGAAUUUACAUUUGACGUUAUGCAAUUGUUCACCAGCUCUCUCUUUUUAAAUUUUUGAGCUUUUCCCUUCAUAAGACAAAGGACAGGGAUACUUGAUAACAUAAAUUACAGAUUCAGAAUUGCAUGUGGUGGGAAGGAAAAAAGUAUAUGCCUUCUGAUGGGGUUGGUAAAUUUCUUUAGUUUGGAGGCAGUUCCCAAAAGGAAUGUGUCCCUGGGUAGAACCAAAAAUGGAAAUGAACUGGUGUUUCAACAGAAGAGAGGUUUAUUUAUUUAUUUAUUACAUGUAUAUCCUUCUCUUCCUCCAAGGAGCUCAGAGUACAUGCUUAUUUUUAUCUUCACACCAACCCUGUGAGAUAGGUUAGGCUGAGAGAUACAUGACUGGCCCAGAGUCAUCCAGUGAGUUUCACGGUUGAAUGGGGAUUCAAACGUGGGUCUUCCUGGUCCUAGUCCAACGCUCUAACCACUACGCUCUGCUGGCUCUGGUUUUACAAGCCAGUUGGACAUACAGUGGUCCCUCGACUUACAAACUACUCGACAUAAGUAUUUUUCGAGUUACAAACGGCAGUUUUAGAUCCGGUUUUAGAUGCGGUUUUUUCGACUUACAAAUUUUUAGAUGGGGUUUCCUCGACUUACAAAUUUUUAGAUGGGGUUUCCUCGACUUAUGAAUUUUACAUGCGGUUUCCUUGACUUGCCUGCCUGUUUACUGCCUGUUUAUUCUUGAAAAGAAAUGUUCCUGUGCAGUUUGCAAGCCUUACUGGGGGUCUGGGUCUUUUUUCUAGGCUCCGGAACGCAUUAAUCCGUUCCCAAUGCAUUCCUAUGGGAAACCGCUUUUCGACUUACGAAUUUUUCGACUUACAAAUGUGCAUUCGGAACGGAUUAAUUUCAUAAGUAGAGGGACCACUGUAUUUCUAGUGUGCCUGAAGGCAAUCAUAGGCUUGGACUGGCACCCAGGGAGGUCUUGAAGCAGUACUUAAAACCAGUACUUUAAAAUGGCCUUUAUAAACUUUGUGGUGAUAUCAUUGAAUGGAAGGCUACAUACUACUCUAACAGAAGCAAACAGUAGUGCAUGCAGCUGUGGGUGCAAGUUGUAAGCGAGCACAAUCGGUGGUAUUGCAACCUGAUCACGUGGCAUGCCUGUCAAUCAGGUCCCAAUUUCCUGGCUUUGUGGAGCUUGAGCCAAAGUGCCCGUCCUCUGGGGAACACAGGUCCUUCCCCGUGCCCUUGAAAGCACUUCGGGGCGGGGGGGGGGGGUUAUGGGAAGGAAUGAGCCUGGCUCUCUGGCUGGAUGUAUGCCAGGGACACUGAGGGCUCUUCUUCCCCGGGUCAAAGUAUCUACGGCUUGCUAGUCCCGGGCAGCCGCAAGCUGUGUAUUCAGCUCUGAAAUUCCGGGACUUACAUUUGUCCAAAGGGGUCAUGUAAACCUCCCUAAGAUGUGAAUUUUGUAAGCAUGUACAGGUGUAAAAUAAAUAAAAAUAACAUGGCCUUUUUUUUCUUUUCAGGAGCAGAAGAAGAGAGAUCUGGCGGAAGGAAGGCCAUCACCUCCAGCAGCCACACGGUGGUCCAGAAGCUGCUGCUGCCUCCCCUGGUUCCUGGGGCCAGUACCAGCCAGGUCUCCCAGGAAACCACCCUUUCCCUUGAUGGCCCAGCCCUGUGGCUAGACCAUCAGCAGAAAGGGUGAGGCCUGUCAAAAGGUCAAAGAAGCUGACCCCGGUAGUAACCAGCACCUUUGGGGAAGCCACCUCGGAAGGGCAGCCCACCAGCCCUCCCAGGGAAGAUCAGGGCUGCUCGAUGUGUGGCCCAAGCACCAAGUGGGAGUGUGCCUUCUGGGAGAAAACCCUUCCCCACCUGGGGGAAAGGAGACUGCCCAGAAGGAGGCUGGAGGCUGCCAUGGAGCGGGCAAAAUUACUCCAGCCCAUCCCCAGGAGGAACCUGGACCUUGGGGAGCCUGGGAAGGAUUUCUUCCCACUGGGACAGGACCGUCCUCCUCGCCUGUCCAGGGAGACGGUUCCUCCCCAGACUUCUUUAACUCACCACCCCCUGGAAGAAGGCCCUGACCCAGAUGGCCCAACCUCUGCUGAAGCCAAUUCCAUCUUCCUUGCAACCACCUUCUGCUCGGCAGAGGAUUCCCCAAGUCAAAGCCAGACCCUUCUUCCUUGGAUAAUCCACCACUCCCCUCUGGCUUUGUGCCCCCCACCAUCACCCUUGGGGAUAGACUCCUCCUGCUCCUUCCUGCUCUAUGGCUCGACCUGUUGCCAGCGCUAACUAUCCAAGCGCUGAGGCUCCCCAAGGCAGAGCCAGCCCCUUCCUCCUGGGGGAGUCUGCCGCUCCCCUCCGGUUCUGUGGUCCAUCCAUCGCCACCACGCCCCCGCCCAAAGGCAUGCCCUGGGGGGGAGAGACUACCACCUGCUCCUCCCCUGGGGUCGUGUCUUGUGGUGCGAGGCCUCCGCCCACGGCCUGAUCCUCCGGUGCCGGGCAGCAGCGGUGGAAGGGUCCCACCAAAUACACCCUUCGCGCUGCUGGAGGGGGCCUUCCACUAGGUCUCUCCGACUCUCCCUGCCAUGAUGAAGGCGCCUGGCCCAAGAAUGAAGCCUCAUCGGCUGAUGGUUGAAGGUAAGCCCUUGAAAAAAAUGGUUUCCUUUGCAGUACUAUGGUCUCCUAUCCUUCUUUUGCUAUCAUGCAACACAAACAAAGACUAUUUGGACUUCUCUCCUCUCCUCUCUGUCCUGCAGGUUAAUCAUACUUUUCUCUUUUCCGGCUUCUUUCUUCUGCUCUGUGGCCUGACCACCGCCACCACGCUUCCACCGGAAGCCACACCCUUGGGGUGAGAGACCACCACCUGCUGCUCCUCAAGGACUAUGUCUCCUGGUGCGAGGCCUAUGCAGACUGGCCGAUCUUCUGGUGGCAACCCCUUGGGGGCAAGAUGGAAGCAGUGAGCGGGCACCACCAAACGCACCAUCUGGGCUGCUGGAGCCCUUUCUGGUACAUCUCGCCUCCUCUCCUCUGCCACCAUGAGACAGGCUGGCCAAAAUAUGAAGCCCACCCACUGCUACAAAAAGGACUUCGCCAACACCAUCCCAGGACACGGUGCCAAUACCUGAUGGCUACCUUUGUCAACAUGUACAUUGAGCUUCAGCAGGGGUGACCUACCUAGCUUACCAGAGGCCACAUCUUAAAGUCAGAAGUAUUAUUCCCUCAUCAGCAUGUCCUGUGUCAAUCGGAACUUGUGAGCCCCUCGAUGCCUGUGGUCCUAGACUCUGUACUGCUGAGAACUCUUCUCCCCCUCCCCCAUUGGUCAUUCUUCUUCAGAUUAGGUGUAUUUGUAGUAUAAAUGUAUUUUUCCCUAUUUAUUUAUUGUAAUGUUGACUAUUAAAUAAACUGUAUCUGAAUUA